GCCCUCAUAGUUCAGUGGAUAGAACAAUUUCCUCCUAAGAAAUAGACCCCAGUUCGACUCUGGGUGAGGACA
rnacentral:tRNA from 1 species